rnacentral:lncRNA from 1 species
CUUACCGUACUGACAAGCAUGUUUUUAGUUGUUAUUAUUAUUAUUAAUUUUUUUUUUUUUUUUUGGUGAUAAUCUGAUUUUCAAUUUGUUCCUUAGUUUAAGACUUCCUUAAGCUUGUUGAUUAUCUACAUUAUCUGAAUUUGGUAAUUGCAUUUGUAAUCAUUAUCCUAAGCCUUUGUCUACCAUUCAUGGUAAUAGGAAUUGGGACUGGUUGUGCAUGGAAACAGCUUCAUUAAAUUGUGAAGUAGAUAUACCACACCAACAAUUCGAAGCAGAUCAAGGAUGGAACAAUUGUGAAGCGGCCAUGUACUAACGUCGACAGUUCAGUGGCUAUUGUUUCAACUGAAUUUGUAUUUUGUAAUGUCCAAUGUUUUGCUUUUGGCAUGUAAAUUGACGUCAGAUUGGGAUGUUACAAUGUUGUUGAGAUAGAACAUAUUCACAUUAAUGAAAUCAGUGUAUUGUUGCUGCCAUGACUAUUUAAAGCACUAGAUGUUGAGAUGAAUGAUGUUUAAAGCACUUGAUGAAAUCAGUAUGUUGCUGUUUAAAGCACUCCGUUGGUUCUUGUUGAUGUGUCCAACCGAUGAUGUGAACUUUGAAGAUGUCGUUGACGACGUGAUUUACAGCAAGCUCCAACUUUCAGUCUUUCAGUUUUUGGGGUGAUUCAAGUGAUACAUCCGAUGAUGAACUGGAGUUAUCAAGUUUGUUGAAGAGCGUUAUUAAAAUAACUGAAGAAAAGGACGUGGACAUCUCCGUCAAAUUUACUUUCCGCAAGGGAGAAGGAGAAGAGCAACGGG